rnacentral:rRNA from 1 species
UACGAAGGGGGCUAGCGUUGUUCGGAAUUACUGGGCGUAAAGCGCGCGCAGGCGGCUAUCCAAGUCAGUGGUGAAAGCCCGGAGCUCAACUCCGGAACUGCCAUUGAAACUGUUUAGCUUGAGGAUGAGAGAGGUGAGUGGAAUUCCCAGUGUAGAGGUGAAAUUCGUAGAUAUUGGGAAGAACACCGGUGGCUAAGGCGGCUCACUGGCUCAUUACUGACGCUCAGGCGCGAUAGCGUGGGGAUCAAACAGG